UUCCGGUUGAUCCUGCCGGAGGCUACCGCUAUUGGAGUUCGAUUAAGCCAUGCGAGUCGUGGGUCCUAGGGACUCGGCGUACCGCUCAGUAACACGUGGGUAACCUGCCCUAUGCUGGGGAAUAACCUCGGGAAACUGAGAAUAAUGCCCCAUAGUUCACCACACCUGGAACGGUGGGUGGAUGAAAGCUCCGGCGGCAUAGGAUGGGCCUGCGGCGUAUCAGGUUGUAGGGGGUGUAAUGUACCCUCUAGCCAUCUACGCGUACGGGUGUUGAGAGACAUCGCCCGGAGAUGGAUUCUGAGACACGAAUCCAGACCCUACGGGGUGCAGCAGGCGCGAAAACUUGGCAAUGCGAGCAAUCGUGACCAGGGAACUCCAAGUGCAUCGGGUAAGACCGAUGCUUUUCUUGACUCUUCAAAGGUCUUGGAAUAAGGGGUGGGUAAGGACGGUGCCAGCCGCCGCGGUAAUACCGGCGCCUCAAGUGGUAGUCGCUUUUAUUGGGCCUAAAACGUCCGUAGCCGGUUUGGUACAUUCGUGGGUAAAUCAAGACGCUCAACGUCUUGAAUUCUGCGAGCACGGCCAGACUUGGGACCGGGUGAGGUGUGGGGUACUCUCAGGGUAGGGGUAAAAUCCUGUCAUCCUGAGAGGACCACCUGUUGCGAAGGCGCCACACUAGAACGGAUCCGACGGUCAGGGACGAAGCCUAGGGGCACGAACCGGAUUAGAUACCCGGGUAGUCCUAGGUGUAAACGCUG
rnacentral:rRNA from 1 species